rnacentral:rRNA from 1 species
CAGGCCUAACACAUGCAAGUCGAGCGGCAGCGAAAAAAAGCUUUUUGCUUUUUUGUCGGCGAGCGGCGAACGGGUGAGUAAUAUCUGGGAAUCUACCUAAAAGAGGGGGAUAACUACUACAAAUGGUAGCUAAUACCGCAUAAUGUUGAAAAACCAAAGUGGGGGAUCUUUUUUAAAGACCUUACGCUUUUAGAUGAGCCCAUAUGAGAUUAGCUUGUUGGUAAGGUAAAAGCUUACCAGAGCAACGAUCUCUACCUGGUCUGAGAGGAUAACCAGCCACACUGGAACUGAGACACGGUCCAGACUCCUACGGGAGGCAGCAGUGGGGAAUAUUGCACAAUGGGCGCAAGCCUGAUGCAGCUAUGCCGCGUGUAUGAAGAAUGCCUUAUGGUUGUAAAGUACUUUCAGCGAGGAAGAAAAA